CGCAAGCCUGACGGAGCAACGCCGCGUGAGGGAUGAAGGCCUUUGGGCUGUAAACCUCUUUUCUCAAGGAAGAAGACCUGACGGUACUUGAGGAAUAAGCCACGGCUAAUUCCGUGCCAGCAGACGCGGUAAUACGGGAGUGGCAAGCGUUAUCCGGAAUUAUUGGGCGUAAAGCGUCCGCAGGCGGCCGUUUAAGUCUGUUGUUAAAUCGUGGAGCUCAACUCCAUCACGGCAAUGGAAACUGUUCGGCUUGAGUAUGGUAGGGGCAGAGGGAAUUUCCGGUGUAGCGGUGAAAUGCGUAGAUAUCGGGAAGAACACCAGUGGCAAAAGCGCUCUGCUGGGCCAUUACUGACGCUCAUGGACGAAAGCCAGGGGAGCGAAAGGGAUUAGAUACCCCUGUAGUCCUGGCCGUAAACGAUGAACACUAGAUGUUGGGGGAAUCGACCCCUCCGGUGUCGUAGCUAACGCGUUAAGUGUUCCGCCUGGGGAGUACGCACGCAAGUGUGAAACUCAAAGGAAUUGACGGGGGCCCGCACAAGCGGUGGAGUAUGUGGUUUAAUUCGAUGCAACGCGAAGAACCUUACCAAGGCUUGACAUCCUGCGAAUCUCCAAGAAAUUGGAGAGUGCCUUCGGGAACGCAGUGACAGGUGGUGCAUGGCUGUCGUCAGCUCGUGUCGUGAGAUGUUGGGUUAAGUCCCGCAACGAGCGCAACCCACGUUUUUAGUUGCCAGCAUUCAGUUGGGCACUCUAGAAAGACUGCCGGUGACAAACCGGAGGAAGGUGUGGACGACGUCAAGUCAUCAUGCCCCUUACGCCUUGGGCUACACACGUACUACAAUGCUGCGGACAAAGAGUAGCGAUCUUGCAAAAGUUAGCUAAUCUCGUAAACCGUGGCUCAGUUCAGAUCGUAGGCUGCAACUCGCCUACGUGAAGGAGGAAUCGCUAGUAAUCGCAGGUCAGCAUACUGCGGUGAAUACGUUCCCGGGCCUUGUACACACCGCCCGUCACACCAUGGAAGUUGGCCAUGCCCGAAGUCGUUACUCUAACCUUUUGGAAGAGGGCGCCGAAGGCAGGGCUAAUGACUGGGGUGAAGUCGUAACAAGGUAGCCGUAGCGGAAGCUGCGGCUGGAUCACCUCCUAA
rnacentral:rRNA from 1 species